rnacentral:rRNA from 1 species
AUCAUUCUAGAAACACUUUCCAGUACCUCUACUUUGUUACGACUUAUUUCAAUUUUUAAAUGAAAGCGACGGGCAAUAUGUACAUAUUUUAAUUUUAAAUCAUCUUAUUAUAUUAAAUAAAAUUACAUUUAAAUCCACCUUCAUAUUAUUAUUACAAAAAAUAAUCCAUUUAAAUAAAUUUAUUGUAAUCCAUCAUAUUCUUAAUUAUAUUCUACAUCUUGAUCUGAAUUAAUUUUUAUUCAUAAUUUUUAAAUAUUAUUUUUAUUUUAAAAUAUUUUUUUAACAACGAUAUAUAAAAUUAUAAAUUAAGUAAAUUUAAUCGUGGAUUAUCAAUUAUUAGACAGAUUCCUCUAAAUGAACUAAAAUACCGCCAAAUUAUUUAAGUUUCAAUAAAUUAUUAUUUACUAUUUUAGUAUUAAAAUUAAAUUUUA